UCUGUUGACAUGGGCGUUUGCGUGAAUAUAAUUUUCUUCAGGAAAGGAAAAAACUCCGACUCAGAAUCUACAGCUGAAACUUUAGUAAUAAGCGUGGUUUCAUUGGAGCUUCUGCUGCGUCACCAACUCCGUAGUUCAGAUGUAUUUGCAGCAUUCUAAUUUGAAGAUUUGAAGUAUACCGGUUUAUCGUGAUAGAGGCGAUCACUCUUCCUUAGCGUGUUUUACAUGACUGUACAAAGAUGAUUUGCUUAAGCUUUUCCUUUUA
rnacentral:lncRNA from 1 species